UACGUAGGGUGCAAGCGUUGUCCGGAAUUAUUGGGCGUAAAGAGCUCGUAGGCGGUCUGUCGCGUCGGAUGUGAAAACCCAGGGCUCAACCCUGGGCCUGCAUUCGAUACGGGCAGACUAGAGUUCGGUAGGGGAGACUGGAAUUCCUGGUGUAGCGGUGAAAUGCGCAGAUAUCAGGAGGAACACCGGUGGCGAAGGCGGGUCUCUGGGCCGAAACUGACGCUGAGGAGCGAAAGCAUGGGGAGCAAACAGG
rnacentral:rRNA from 1 species